CCUACGGGAGGCAGCAGUGGGGAAUUUUGCGCAAUGCUCGUAAGAGUGACGCAGCGACGCCGCGUGAAUGACGAAGGCCUUCGGGUCGUAAAGUUCUUUCGACAGGGAAGAAAAUGCCUAUAAGUAACUGUGUAUGUAUUGACGGUACCUGUAUAAGCAGCCCCGGCUAACUCCGUGCCAGCAGCCGCGGUAAUACGGAGGGGGCGAGCGUUGUUCGGAGUGACUGGGCGGAAGGAGCACGUAGGCGGUGUUGUAAGUCAUUAGUCAAAGACUAGAGCUCAACUUUAGUAAGGCUAGUGAUACUAUAAUACGAGAGUAUCAGAGAGGAUUGCAGAAUUCCUGGUGUAGCGGUGAAAUGCGUAGAUAUCAGGAGGAAUACCGUUAGCGAAGGCGGCAAUCUGGCUGGAAACUGACGCUGAGGUGCGAAAGCGUGGGUAGCAAACAGGAUUAGAUACCCGAGUAGUC
rnacentral:rRNA from 1 species